rnacentral:rRNA from 1 species
UGGGGAAUUUUGGACAAUGGGGGCAACCCUGAUCCAGCCAUGCCGCGUGUGUGAAGAAGGCCUUCGGGUUGUAAAGCACUUUCGGACGGAACGAAAUCGCGCGGGCGAAUACCCCGCGUGGAUGACGGUACCGUAAGAAGAAGCACCGGCUAACUACGUGCCAGCAGCCGCGGUAAGACGGAAGGUGCAAGCGUUGCUCGGAAUCACUGGGCGUAAAGGGUGCGUAGGCGGCUGUGUAAGUCUGGCGUGAAAGCCCAGGGCUCAGCCCUGGAAGGGCGCUAGAAACUGCGCGGCUAGAGUGCCGGAGGGGAGAGUGGAAUUCCUGGUGUAGCGGUGAAAUGCGUAGAUAUCUGGAGGAACACCGGUGGCGAAGGCGACAUCCUGGACCAAUUCUGACGCUGAGGAGCGAAAGCCAGGGGAGCAAACGGGAUUAGAUACCCCUGUAGUCCCUGAGCGGGCUGGCAAGGCGCAU